UAAUACGGAGGAGGCGAGCGUUAUCCGGAAUCACUGGGCGUAAAGUGUGCGUAGGCGGUCAAAUAAGUCAGAUGUGAAAUCCUCUGGCUUAACCAGAGAAUUGCAUCUGAUACUAUUUGACUCGAGUGCAAGAGAGGAGAAUGGAAUUCCCGGUGUAGCGGUGAAAUGCGUAGAUAUCGGGAAGAACACCAGUGGCGAAAGCGAUUCUCCAUCUUGACACUGACGCUGAGGCACGAAAGCCAGGGGAGCGAACGGGAUUAGAUACCCCGGUAGUCCUGGCUGUAAACUAUGGGCACUAGGUGUUUCCCGAUUUAUCGGGAUGUGCCGAAGCUAACGCGUUAAGUGCCCCGUCUGGGGGCUACGGUCGCAAGGCUG
rnacentral:rRNA from 1 species